AUUGAACGCUGGCGGCAGGCCUAACACAUGCAAGUCGAACGAGUUGCGGACGGGUGAGUAAUGUCUGGGAAACUGCCUGAUGGAGGGGGCUAACUACUGGAAACGGUAGCUAAUACCGCAUAACAUCAGAUGUGCCCAGAUGGGAGUAGCUAGUUGGUGGGGUAAAGGCUCACCAAGGCGACGAUCCCUAGCUGGUCUGAGAGGAUGACCAGCCACACUGGAACUGAGCCACGGGCCAGACUCCUACGGGAGGCAGCAGUGGGGAAUAUUGCGCAAUGGGCGAAAGCCUGAUGCAGCCAUGCCGCGUGUAUGAAGAAGGCCUUCGGGUUGUAAAGUACUUUCAGCGGGGAGGCGUUACCCACAGAAGAAGCACCGGCUAACUCCGUGCCAGCAGCCGCGGUAAUAC
rnacentral:rRNA from 1 species